rnacentral:rRNA from 1 species
GUGCACCAGUCGAGAAAACUUCACAAUGUGCGAAAGCACGAUGAGGGAAUCCCAAGUGCUUGCUCGUAAGAGUAAGCUGUUUCUCUGUCUAAAACGCAGAGAGAGUAAGGGCUGGGUAAGACGGGUGCCAGCCGCCGCGGUAAUACCUGCAGCUCGAGUGGUGGCCGCUAUUAUUGGGCCUAAAACGUCCGUAGCCGGUUUAUUGAAUGCCUGGGUAAAUCGGACCGCUUAACGGUUCGAAUUCCGGGUAGACUGAUAAACUUGAGACCGGGAGAAGCUAGAGGUACUCCUGGGGUAGAGGUGAAAUUCUGUAAUCCUAGGGGGACCACCAGUGGCGAAGGCGUCUAGCUAGAACGGGUCUGACGGUGAGGGACGAAGCCCUGGGGCGCAAACGGGGAUUAGAUACCCCCGGUAGU